GGUUACGAGAGACAGCCCUGGAAUGACCCA
rnacentral:piRNA from 1 species